rnacentral:lncRNA from 1 species
CCCCGGACAUAUGCCGAACUGCUAGAGCGCGCGUACAAAUACAUGCGCGCGGAUGAAGGAGCUUCCGACCGGUGCCUGACUGAGACCAAGGGCCCGAAGGAGAAGCGAAGAAAAGAUCGGGCUCCUGCCGAGCCUAGCAGGCCCCCAACCGACAAACAGGUCUCACCCCAGCGAUGGAGCCCGAGAUCGCCUCGACGACGGAGUUCGAGGCCGAUGCAUCCCAGGUAUGACUUCUAUACUCCUCUCUCUGCUCCUCGUGCGCAGAUUUUGAUAGAGAUCGAAGGGGAAGAAUAUCUGCGACGGCCUCCGCCUUUGAAGGCAAAGGGCCUCGACCGGCGAAAGUACUGUCGAUUUCAUCAGGGCCACGGCCACAACACCGAGCAGUGCAUCUAACUUAAGGAUGAAAUCGAGGCCCUUAUACGGCGAAGGUAUCUCAAAAAAAUUUCGAAGAAAACCGCCGACUCAACCCGUCCCCGACUGACGACCCC